rnacentral:rRNA from 1 species
CUACGUGCCAGCAGCCGCGGUAAUACGGAAGGUCCUAGUGUUAUCCGGAUUUAUUGGGUUUAAAGGGAGCGUAGGCCGUAGAUUAAGUGUGUUGUGAAAUGUAGGCGCCCAACGUCUGCCUUGCAGCGCAAACUGGUUUACUUGAGUACGCGCAACGCAGGCGGAAUUCGUCGUGUAGCGGUGAAAUGCUUAGAUAUGACGAAGAACUCCUAUUGCGAAGGCAGCUUGCGGGAGCGUUACUGACGCUGAAGCUCGAAAGUGCGGGUAUCGAACAGGAUUAGAUACCCUGGUAGUCCGCACGGUAAACGAUGGAUGCCCGUUUUUGGCUUUUUAAGCCAGAGACCAAGCGAAAGCAUUAAGCAUCCCACCUGGGGAGUACGCCGGCAACGGUGAAACUCAAAGGAAUUGACGGGGGCCCGCACAAGCGGAGGAACAUGUGGUUUAAUUCGAUGAUACGCGAGGAACCUUACCCGGGCUUGAAUUGCAGACGACAUAUUUAGAGAUAGAUAUUCA